rnacentral:tRNA from 1 species
GCCCGGGUGGUGGAACUGGUAGACACGGCGGACUCAAAAUCCGCUGGCCGUGAGGCCGUGAGGGUUCGAGUCCCUCCCCGGGUACCG